rnacentral:lncRNA from 1 species
AACUCAUCCUGAUUAAUAGGUCUAAUUACUUGGGUGUGGUUUCCUCUGGGUUCACGACACACUCUUGAUAUAAACUUGAGAAAAAUUUUGGAUUAACUUUUUUUAGUUUUGUGAAAGCUUUUCCUUCGGUGUAGAAAACUUCAAGAUAUGGCUGCUAUAGUAACCCAAGAUCCCACUGGCGGUAUUGCAAGUGUACUCCAUAGACCACUGCAUGCACAAGCCCCUCAGCGCCCUGGUCCUCUGCCCUCCAGAAUAUUACACCCAGAAGAGCAUCUCCAGCGAAACCAGCCCUUUUACGUUCCCACUGUCCAGCCGUUCUUCCCAUAUCAAUGGUCCAUGUCAACUCCAUAUGUGCCCUAUGGUGGCUUUAAUGGAUUAGAUCUUUUCUAGAUUGUCUUGACCACAUUAACCUCUCAAACAAGUGAAAACAUGGAGGGAACCUCAUGCUUUUCAUAAUAUGAUGUGUGAUCUUUAGGAAUCCAUCGUAAGCUGGAAAAUUCCUAAUGUUUCUGCUCAGGCCUAUUAUUAGGUGUCCAGUAUAAGCUAUAACUUUCUAUUUCUAUGAUGAAGACUUGCUA